rnacentral:rRNA from 1 species
AGAUUGAACGCUGGCGGCAGGCCUAACACAUGCAAGUCGAGCGGUAGAGAGGUGCUUGCACCUCUUGAGAGCGGCGGACGGGUGAGUAAUGCCUAGGAAUCUGCCUAGUGGUGGGGGAUAACGUUCGGAAACGGACGCUAAUACCGCAUACGUCCUACGGGAGAAAGCGGGGGACCUUCGGGCCUCGCGCCAUUAGAUGAGCCUAGGUCGGAUUAGCUAGUUGGUGAGGUAAUGGCUCACCAAGGCGACGAUCCGUAACUGGUCUGAGAGGAUGAUCAGUCACACUGGAACUGAGACACGGUCCAGACUCCUGCGGGAGCAGCAGGUGGGGAAUAGUUGGACAAGUGGGACGAAAGCCUGACUCCAGCCAUGCCGCGUGUGUGAA